ACUCCUACGGGGCAGCAGUGGGGAAUAUUGCACAAUGGGCGCAAGCCUGAUGCAGCCAUGCCGCGUGUAUGAAGAAGGCCUUCGGGUUGUAAGUACUUUCAGCAGUGAGGAAGGUGGGUAUGUUAAUAGCAUACUCAUUUGACGUUAGCUGCAGAAGAAGCACCGGCUAACUCCGUGCCAGCAGCCGCGGUAAUACGGAGGGUGCGAGCGUUAAUCGGAUUACUGGGCUAAAGCGCAUGCAGGUGUUGUAAGUCAGAUGUGAAAGCCCGGGGCUCAACCUCGGAAUUGCAUUUGAAACUGGCAAACUAGAGUACUGUANAGGGGGGUANAAUUUCAGGUGUAGCGGUGAAAUGCGUAGAGAUCUGAAGGAUACCGGUGGCAAGGCGGCCCCCUGGACAGAUACUGACACUCAGAUGCGAAAGCUGGGGACAAACNGGAUUAGAUACCCUGGUAGGCUA
rnacentral:rRNA from 1 species